rnacentral:rRNA from 1 species
UACAGAGGGUGCGAGCGUUGUUCGGAAUUACUGGGCGUAAAGCGUGCGUAGGUGGUUUUUUAAGUCCGUUGUGAAAGCCCUGGGCUCAACCUGGGAAUGGCAGUGGAUACUGGAAAGCUAGAGUGCGGUAGAGGGUAGUGGAAUUCCCGGUGUAGCAGUGAAAUGCGUAGAGAUCGGGAGGAACACCAGUGGCGAAGGCGGCUACCUGGACCAGCACUGACACUGAGGCACGAAAGCGUGGGGAGCAAACAGG